CAGAACCAAACCUCGAAUAAAACCAAAGAGACACUGAUGUGAAAGACAACUCCAACAUUUCUUUCCCUGGAUUGUCCCAAGUCAUUGCAUUGCUGAGAAUAGCCAAGUUUUCACAGAUUGUGUAUUUUUUAUUGUCUCAUUAAUAUUCUUUUCUUUUGUUUGCAUUUCAGCAGGUAUCCACCAAAAUCUUCUGCCAAUCCCACUCCCUUGACCGCUUGAAAUAACUCCUUAGAUUUCAGCACAACAAGCAGUGGCUGUGUCUGAGAAUAUAUGACUUAUUCUGAACCCCUGGUGGAAAGAAAUGGGCAUCGUGGCUCAUCAUCCCUUUCCUGCAGAAGUGAUGAAAAGGAAGUGAAAACCAUGGACCUGAUGCUAUCAGACUGCCAAUGGAAAAAGGCUGCUCCUCACCAUGUGGUAUCUAAAUGGAUAAUUAAAAACAACAAACAACAACAACAACAACAAAAACCAACCCCAAAGAACUUUGAAGAGACUAGAGGCUAUAUUCUAAGGCAUUUCAGACUCCAAUGGUUUAUAAAAACUCUCUGUAUUUCUAUUGCAUUUCCUGAUUGUUUUAAUAUAUAACUUUGUGAUUUUAAAUUUAUAUAUUACUGAAUUCAAUAUUAUUCUGUUAUACUGUUCAUUUAAUGUACUGAGUUUUAAAAUUCUACUGCUUUUCCCCUAUAACCAUAUAUUGAUUAAAUACGCCCAUAUUAAAAAAAAACAGCUUUUUUUCUAUUUUUGCUUUUGUAAAUUGUCAUAUAGAGCAUAGAUGGACAUCAGAACUGGUUACAAUUGUAUAACAACCUUUGGAAAAUUUUAUGUGCUAAAUAUCUCAACUGAUUUUAAGGGUUUUUUAAAUAUGAUUUUUGGAUAUUUUUUUAACAAUCUCUGGCUAUUUUUGCCUACCCCUACCACGAGGUAUAAGGCCCAUUCUAGUAGCUGAAGUGAAAUACAAUUAUAACCCCCAACCUUCCUGCAUUUCUAAAUAUGUGAAUGGAAGUUGGGCGGUUAAUCUCAGGGCAUUUGUACCCCUAAAAGGCCUCCAAAAAAAGGAGCACCUCUCAUUUAUACUCUUCAGCUCACUAUUUUACUUCCACCAGAAUUAUAUCUAUAUUUCUUGAUUAUGUUCUUAACCCAACAUGAGUUUUACUUUGUUUAAAAAUAUGUUUAUACACCAAGGUUGAAAGAUUGCUAUGAUUGUAAAAAAUUGUGACAAAUAUCCAUCAAUUCAUAGGUUUUUAAAUGCCAUACAGCAACUCCUGUAAAUAUGAUAGUGUGUUUGUUUGCUAUUGUAAUUAAUUGGGCUAUUGAGAAUUUUGGGGAUGUUGAUACUACAUAUUUGUACUACUAUUCUUUAAAAAUGAAAAAUGUUACCUUGCUCAAUUCAUUUGCCUUAUACUCACAGUGAUCAUGGCCAGAUACAAAUAGGAAAUGGAUUUCAUUUUUGGUGAGAAAGCCUUGUAUGCUAUUUUUUUUAGCUGAAACAGUGUGUCAAUGAUUAUAAGCUAUAUUUUUGAAUUUUUAAAACUUUUAUUAUAUUUUCUUGCAUGUGCAAUAUAUUAUUUCAGUGUUUUUUUAUUUUUUCUCUCCUUUUUAUAUUUGAAGCACAUGCCACCAGCAUUAAGAUUUUCUUUAACUUUUUGACUUUUCAUUACUGUAAGUUUAAGAUGCAUUUGCCAAUGCAUACCCCAAAAAGCUUGUGACUAUAAAAAUGAUGCCACUAAUUAUUUAAAAAAUUAUGGGACGUUGCUUAAGGAUUCUGUCUGAUUCCAGGACAAGAUAUACACCCAAGAGCCAUUGAACAGAGCCAAAGAAAAGCCAAUCCAGGAUGGAUUAAUGCAAUUCUAGGCCAAUACAAAGGUCUUGAACCUAGUGUGAAGACUCCAGGUUACUAUGUUUAACAUGUUGUUAAGACAUAGGCUUUCCUUGUGUCCACACUCACUCUGAAGAUACUCACAGACGAGUAUCCCCAAAACCUUGGCUCAUAUAAUCUGGUCCCCUUUUCUGCCUUUCAUAGUGUGGUAACUUUCUGUAGUCCUGGCUACUGACUGGGUAAAUGCAUCAUUGCUUAGAUCGUUUUUAUUGGGCCCUGAUUCAAGGACCUGUUAUAGAUUUAUUUUUCUUUUACUUAGAAUUUUUUUCACAUAAGACUUUGAUAGUCUAUAUUUUCAUCCAGAGUUUUUUCUUUUUAUUUGGAUUUUUCUGAUAUCUUUUUAAUAUCUCUUGCCAAUUGAUUCAUAUACCUCAUAUCUCAGCCAUGCAUCCAUAAGUGAUCCUUUUCAAUCACCCUCUUAACGGGGGAAAUGUAAACAUAUCAUUAUUUAAAUUGGAAAGUUUAAAUUCCUUUUGAGAAGAAUUUUAGGUAAAGAAGAUGCUAUCUCUCUGAAUCUAGAACUGAACUGUUGGAGAAGAUACCAUGAAGAAGCCUCCAGACCAGCCAGCUGCACAAGAUCAAAAUGAACUUUGGGUGUAGUUGAUUGAACAUUUAUUUGUAUGUAUACUUUCAUGCCAAAGGGGACUGCCCUCUAACUGGCUUUUUGUCAAUGUGUUCAGCAAUUAUUGGUUUUGUUCUUUUUUUUUCUCUUAUCUUCACAUUAUUGUAAUCUUUUAAGUUGAUUAUGUUUUUAUGAUCCUUUUGGGAAAAAAAUUAAUUUUUCCAAAUAUGAUCAAACGGGGAAAUGUAAAAAAUGAACUUGAACUCUGGACUUCAAUCCCCACAAGCCCUUGCUCCACUUCCCCAAAAUGCUUUGUAAUCUCACUGAAUUCUCAGGUGGGCUGAGAUCAAGAAGGGAUUUAACCUGAUUGCAAAGGCUUUUGUGUCUCUUUUGGACUUCCGUUUUGGAGCAGACGCGGCUCUUCCAUGAUGUGAGAUUAUCUUCCUUAUCUUGUAUUUUCUUUAAUCCUUAACUUUAAUAAACCCCAUAAAAUAUAAUACUCCUUGCA
ensembl:lncRNA